UAGGUCAUACCAUUAAUAUUUAUACUGUUUACACCAAUUUUCGUGCAAAGGUUCAUUUUGAUUUUCACAGUAUUUGGACUUUAUACGCAGCAAAAUAACAUACCCAAGUAUUUAUUUUUACUUUAGCAAAAUUAUUUCGUUAAGUUUCAUUAAAAUUGAACAUAAAUAGACACAAGAAAUAAGGAAAAAGUUAAUUUUACGUUGAGAAAACGUAUCAUUAUUGAGAAACAUAAGACUGAUGCUCAAGAAUUGAAAUAUAUAGUAUAAAGGCAUUUUCUCGUUGAAAACAAAACCAAGAUGACUUUAAUAACGGAAAACAAGGAUGCUGAAGAGGUCACAAUUGAGAUAACAGAAGCGAUUAAAGAGAAUGAAAAUUUGAAAAAAGAUGAACUUUUGGAAAAUCCUCAUUAUCGGGUAGAAGAAGGCUGGGGGAUCUUAAUUGGAAUUUCGUUUAUCUUACUAUGGGCCUUGGUUUAUUACAAAUACUUGGAGGCAGCAAAUGCCUCCCAUCUUCGUCGAGUUCCGCGCCAAGGCUCUCAGGAUACACAAAUUAGGCAUUAACUAUUCUAGUCGCUAAUGAUCACAAGUCUAUGCAAAUUUAAGUCUUAAUUUAAUUAAAACUUAAAAGAAUUAUAACUUUUCCAUAAUCGUUAGGAAUUUGGAUACUGACAAAAAAUAACCUGUAGCACGAUCUAGGAAUUUAAAUCAUUAAAAUUGCACCAACAGAAAA